GCGAUGGCGGGUUGCGAACAGUGGGGGUCGUCGCCGGCGUCCAUAUCCCAUUCCCAGAUCAAGAGGCUAUUCUCGCGUGUCAUGGGAGAGGUCAUGGCAGCGGCAGUGCAACUAUCCCCGUCGGCCGUUCAUCGGGAGGACAAGCAACGGGAUUUCUGGAUGACAUCAACCGAAGCGGAUUUGCCACCGGGGUGGCUCGUCAGGGUGGCAUAAGCAGAGGCCCGGAGGUUCCACUGCCGAUUAAAGAACCAACUAAAGGUAACAAUGACGUGCUGCCUAACGAAAACAGUGAACCUCUGCGGAAGUCUACAAGGAAAAGGAGGAAGAGGAAGCUUGAUUCGUUUUAACGAAGGAGACUUGCAAGUCUAGAAGGAACUGAAUGACAAUUUGGUUUGUUGCUCAAUGCUAUGUACUGUGUAAUUGACCGAAUCGAUGGUCUUUUGUUAUGGGACUGUAAUAUAUACUGGCUGCACUUCUUUUGUUGUUGGACUGCUAUGUGUCUUCCUGUGUCUAAUCUUAAGUUUAGUCUCUAAAGUCUGAAGCUAUAUUAUUAGACUGCAAUCUCGUGGGCUUGUGGCUGAUGGUUUAUGAGAAUUGUAUAUUUUUGUUGGUCGUUCUA